rnacentral:rRNA from 1 species
AAAAGGGGGGCAACUCCCUGAGUACAGCGGCGCACGGGUGAGUAACACGUGGGUAAUCUGCCCUGGAGUGGGGAAUAACACCGGGAAACCGGUGCUAAUACCGCAUACGAUAACGAGGUCUGCGGACUUUGUUAUGAAAGGAGCAAUUCGCUCUAGGAGGAGCCCGCGGCUGAUUAGCUAGUUGGUGAGGUAAUGGCCCACCAAGGCUACGAUCAGUAUCCGGUCUGAGAGGACGGUCGGACACACUGGAACUGAGACACGGUCCAGACUCCUACGGGAGGCAGCAGUGGGGAAUUUUUGGCAAUGGGGGCAACCCUGACCAAGCAACGCCGCGUGGGUGAUGAAGUCUCUUGGGACGUAAAACCCUUUCGACGGGGAAGAAACCGCAAGGUUGACGGUACCCGUAGAAGAAGCCCCGGCUAACUCCGUGCCAGCAGCCGCGGUAAUACGGGGGGGGCAAGCGUUGUUCGGAAUUACUGGGCGUAAAGGGCGCGUAGGCGGUGCUCUAAGUCGGAUGUGAAAACUCUGGGCUCAACCCAGAGCCUGCAUCCGAAACUGGAGUGCUAGAGUUCUGGAGGGGGUAGCGGAAUUCCUGGUGUAGCGGUGAAAUGCGUAGAUAUCAGGAGGAACACCGGUGGCGAAGGCGGCUACCUGGACAGAAACUGACGCUGAGGCGCGAAAGCUAGGGGAGCAAACAGGAUUAGAUACCCUGGUAGUCCUAGCCCUAAACGAUGGAUACUUGGUGUGACUGGGAUUGAAUCCAGUCGUGCCGAAGCUAACGCAUUAAGUAUCCCGCCUGGGGAGUACGGUCGCAAGGCUGAAACUC